GUGAAUCAUCGAAUUUUUGAACGCAAAUUGCACUUCCUGGCAUUCCGGAGAGUAUGCCUGUUUGAGGGUCAGUUUUAAUAAAAAUCGGUGUGGUUGCCGACUUUUGUGGUGUCGCACCGGUUUUGGGUCGUAACUUUUUUGGUUAAGUGACUUAAAAUUUAGCUUGUUUUCUUUUUAUUGUACUUACAUGAUUUUUUGUUUGUUCGUCUUAUCGUAUUCCCGGA
rnacentral:misc_RNA from 1 species